UACGUAGGGUGCAAGCGUUGUCCGGAAUUAUUGGGCGUAAAGAGCUCGUAGGCGGUCUGUCGCGCCGGCUGUGAAAACCCGGGGCUCAACCCCGGGCCUGCAGUCGAUACGGGCAGACUAGAGUGCGGUAGGGGAGACUGGAAUUCCUGGUGUAGCGGUGAAAUGCGCAGAUAUCAGGAGGAACACCGGUGGCGAAGGCGGGUCUCUGGGCCGUAACUGACGCUGAGGAGCGAAAGCGUGGGGAGCGAACAGG
rnacentral:rRNA from 1 species